AUGUCUUGUUCAAAUUCAAAACUCAUAAAAAUUGGUUAUCUUUUAUCUCUUAAAGGCUAUACAAAUAAUUGAAGGUUAAUUAGCAGUGUAACUGUAUAGUAAUGCCGCCAGUCUCCUCCAGGCAAAA
rnacentral:snoRNA from 1 species